rnacentral:rRNA from 1 species
GAUGAACGCUGGCGGCGUGCCUAAUACAUGCAAGUCGAGCGAACAGAUAAGGAGCUUGCUCCUUUGACGUUAGCGGCGGACGGGUGAGUAACACGUGGGUAACCUACCUAUAAGACCGGGAUAACUCCGGGAAACCGGUGCUAAUACCGGAUAACAUUUAGAACCGCAUGGUUCUAAUUUGAAAGAUGGUAUUGCUAUCACUUAUAGAUGGACCCGCUCCGUAUUAGCUAGUUGGUAAGGUAACGGCUUACCAAGGCACCGAUAAGUAGCCGACCUGAGAGGGUGAUCGCCCACCCUGGAACUGAGACACGGUCAAGCCUCCUACGGGAGGCAGCAGUAGGGAAUCUUCCGCAAUGGGCGAAAGCCUGACGGAGCAACGCCGCGUGAGUGAUGAAGGUCUUCGGAUCGUAAAACUCUGUUAUUAGGGAAGAACAAAUGUGUAAGUAACUGUGCACGUAUUGACGGUACCUAAUCAGAAAGCCACGGCUAACUACGUG